CAUUUUUCCACUUUUCCACUCCUUCAAUCAAACGGACCCUAAAUGUCCGUAAAAUCUAGUAGGGUGCCAAACAACACCCUCCUGCUUUACCAGAGCAUCAAUAUGAUGUGGUGAAGAUGUUUGAACAUCUACCUCCACAUUAUCUUGUUAGAUAAGAGAUGAACCACCGCCCAAACCAAUCCUUGACACUGCGAAAACCAUUCCUCACAUCCAAUUUCCUCUUCACUUUGUGAAACCCGUCCAUGUCCAAGCGAGUUUCAAACAGAAAAAGAAACCUUGGGACCUUCUUUAUUUACCAAACAACAAAGUUCUUAAACUGCUUCUAGGAUCCCAAGCCCGCGACAGUUAAGACUUAAAAUUAUCAUGGUGGAGGAGAGGCUAAAGGAGUACCCCCAGCAAUAGAAUGAGGUAUACUCAGGCUAUCCGUACUAAGAAUUUGCUUCUUGUGAACAUGGGAAUCUAGAGAAGAAUACUCUGAAGAUGUACGUUUUGCCGAGCAUGGAAGAUUAGGACACAUCAAAGAAAUGUAACAUGUUGGCAUGAUGAGGUUGCGGCGCUGGCGCAGAAUUGCAAGAUAGCUGUUGUUCUUAGUUGAUUGUUUGAUGUGCAAGGUGACGAAUUGAGGGUUUUUGAUAAAAGCUUGCCAUAUAUGAUUUGCGUACACACAUGAAUCUCAAUAGUGUUUUCACGGGUAGCCUAGAGAGAAUAUCUGUGACAAUCUCUUUAGGGAGUUCCAUUUGGAGAAAGGGAAUUAGAGUGGUUAAACCUAUGGAAGCUUCAAGGCAAAUGAAGACAAGGCCUCAAAAGGAUCAAGCUCUCAAUGCUCCAAGUUGUAAUUCAUGGUGGCGUUGGUUUUUUUUUUUUUUUUUUUAAUGGAUUUGUUGGGUUUUUUUUUUUUUUUUUUUUUUUUUUUUUUUUUCAAUUUGGGUUUUUGGUUUUGGUGGGCAUGGUAGUGGUGAUUGGGUUGUUUGGAUUUUUUUAAUGGGUUUGUUGGGUAUUUGUUGGUUUUUUUUUUUUUAAACUUGGGUUUUUGGUUUUGGUGGGCAUGGUAGUGGUGACUGGGUUGUUUGGAUUUUUUUUAAUGGGUUUGUUGGGUAUUUGCUGGUUUUUUUUAUUUAUUUUAAAUUUGGGUUUUUGGUUUCGGUUGGAUUUUGGUGGACAACGGGCGGCGGUGGCUUGGUGGUAAUUGGGUUGUUUGGUUGUGAAGAGAGUGAGACUGAGGCGGGGACAGAAAUUAGAGAGAGGAGAGAUGGAUAAUUUGUUUAUUAUUUUAU